rnacentral:rRNA from 1 species
GGCGGCGUGCUUAACACAUGCAAGUCGAACGAGAAUCUGUGGAAAGAGGAUUCGUCCAAUUGAAGCAGAGGACAGUGGCGGACGGGUGAGUAACGCGUGAGGAACCUGCCUUUCAGAGGGGGGACAACAGUUGGAAACGACUGCUAAUACCGCAUAACAUAUAGAUGUCGCAUGGCAUUUAUAUCAAAGAUUUAUCGCUGAAAGAUGGCCUCGCGUCUGAUUAGCUAGUUGGUGAGGUAAACGGCCCCACCAAGGCGACGAUCAGUAGCCGGACUGAGAGGUUGAACGGCCACAUUGGGACUGAGAUACGGCCCAGACUCCUACGGGAGGCAGCAGUGGGGAAUAUUGGGCAAUGGGCGCAAGCCUGACCCAGCAACGCCGCGUGAAGGAAGAAGGCUUUCGGGUUGUAAACUUCUUUUGUCAGGGACGAGUAGAAGACGGUACCUGACGAAUAAGCCACGGCUAACUACGUG